UCUUUUACAUUCAAUUAUUUUCACAUUCCAUCUACUAAAUUCUUCCAGAGAACAAUGUCUGGAGUAAAGGGACAACAGAAGAAAUGCCCUGAGCCGUGCCAAGAGCCUUGCCCCCCAUCACCACCCCAACAACAAUGCCAGGAUCCUUGCAAGCCACAGCUGGUGUGUCCUGAACCAAAAUGUCCUCCUCCACAAGAGCCAUGUCAGCAACAGCAAGACCAGAAAUGUGUGAAGAAAUAGAGAAAUCAAGAAUCUAAGACUUCCUUACGGA